CUCUCUUUGUUGUAAAUAAAUAAAGAGUUGGGCCUGCUCGGUGAAUGGUUAUUUUUAACAGCUGCGGUAUUUUAACUGUACUAAGGUAGCAUAAUAAUUUGCCUUAUAAUUUGAGGCUAGAAUGAAUGGUUUGACGAAGGUUAAUCUGUCUCUAUCUUAUUUUUUAGAAUUUAAUUUUAUAGUGAAAAAGCUUUAAUUUUUUAAAGGGACGAGAAGACCCUAUUGAGCUUAUAAUUUUAUUAUUAUUGUAAGUAUUUAUUUUUACAGUGAUAUAUAAAUUUUAAUUGGGGUGAUUAAGGAAUAAGUUUUGUAACUUCCUUAGGGUUAAUAUUAUUUGAUUAAGUAACCAAUAAAUUAUUGCUUUUAUUAUAGUUACCAUAGGGAUAACAGCGUAAUCUAUUUAGAGAGUUCUUAUUGAAAAAUGGGAUUGCGACCUCGAUGUUGGAUUAAGGUAACCACAAGGUGAAGAAGCUUUGUUAGGUGAAUCUGUUCGAUUUUUAAAACUU
rnacentral:rRNA from 1 species